AAUACUUUUAAAACAGUUUUUCUAAGAAAUAAUAAAAGUAAAAUUAUUUUCAAGAGGAUAUUGCUGUUGUUAUAGAUCCUAAUUAAGCAUGAUUUUAUAGUUGCAUUUUAUAUUUGCACUUGCAAGAUUUUGAAAAAGAUUUUGAUAGCAAUAACAUUCUACAUCUUUAGCACUUCAGACCUUCUUUGAUCAACUACACAGAAUAAUAACCAAUUUGUUAAACUCCUACCAAAGACCGUGGAGGAAUUUCCUUUCUUCUGAGAGCUUUGCCAAAUCAAAAAUUUGGCCCUCCAUACAUCAUAGAGCAUUUGACAUUAAGUAGCUCAAUGCGUCACGGCAUGGUAGAGAAUGGCCCACGGACUAGCCACAGAUUGAUUUACAGAGACAUAAGGCAGUAAAUCACCAGCCAGAGGGCAAGAUCGCCUCACAGGGCUCAAAUAACAGGCCAGUAGCCAAAAAGUCGUGUGAGUAAUCUAUCAAGACCUGUUACAGUCAGACGCAAGGGGGUAUGGGGCUCUACAACCUCAGUUGUGUCCCUGAAACACCAGUGCUGUUGUCACAUUGAUGUACAGAGACCAGCUCCCAUCACAGACCAUGUAACCCUUUUUUAUCAUUGAGAGAAUGAACAUCCUUUAAGACCAGGUGGAAUUCUGAACUUUCACUUAGAAUCGAGGAACAAGGCCUGAACAAAUAUAUUCUUUGGCUGAAGUAGGAGUUAAACUGUCAAACCGUGCAUUACUAAACUUGGGAUAUAGAUGAAAUUUACCAACUCCAACAUUUAUGUGAGGUACAUUUGUAUAAAGGUAAUCACUUGCUUGCUUAAGAAGCCAUAGAUCAAAUUAAAGUGACCUAAAAGCUCUCAUAAACAUGUUUACAAAAGUUCCAGAUGCUCUGCCAAUCCUCAGCCAUUGUAAUGCACUGCACUGAUAACACAAUUCCAGGAAAUAAACACAACUGAACAAACGUAUAAUAUGCACAAUAACAACUGAAAAAAGCUGAUGGA